rnacentral:rRNA from 1 species
CCGGCACGGGUGAGUAACACGUAUCCAACCUGCCGUCUACUCUUGGACAGCCUUCUGAAAGGAAGAUUAAUACAGGAUGGCAUCAUGAGUCCGCAUGUUCACAUGAUUAAAGGUAUUCCGGUAGACGAUGGGGAUGCGUUCCAUUAGAUAGUAGGCGGGGUAACGGCCCACCUAGUCUUCGAUGGAUAGGGGUUCUGAGAGGAAGGUCCCCCACAUUGGAACUGAGACACGGUCCAA